GACAGAGGGGGCAAGCGUUGCUCGGAAUCACUGGGCGUAAAGGGCGCGUAGGCGGGAUGGCAAGUCAGUCGUGAAAUCUCUCGGCUCAACCGAGAAACGUCGGCUGAUACUGCCGUUCUUGAGGGAUGCAGAGGAGACUGGAAUUCCCGGUGUAGCGGUGAAAUGUGUAGAGAUCGGGAGGAACACCAAUGGCGAAAGCAGGUACCUGGACUAUUACUGACGCUCAGCUGCGAAAGCUAGGGGAGCAAACAGG
rnacentral:rRNA from 1 species